CUUCUCAUUAUGUUCCUCUUAGCAGCAAUCUGCAGAGCGCUGUGUAAGCACAUUGCUUGUCUCAUCCAAACCAAAGUAAAUUAUGUGGUCCAAGAGGCGAUUGUUAUAUCUUCCGCAAAUACCCCAACAAAUAUGAAAGUAUCAUUGCCACUUUGUGUGAGAACUUAGACUCACUGGAUGAGCCAGACGCUCGAGCAGCUAUGAUUUGGAUUGUGGGAGAAUAUGCUGAAAGAAUUGACAAUGCAGAUGAGUUACUAGAGAGCUUCCUGGAAGGUUUUCAUGAUGAUAGCACCCAGGUACAGCUCACUCUGCUUACUGCCAUAGUGAAGCUGUUUCUCAAGAAACCAUCAGAAACGCAGGAGCUGGUACAGCAGGUCUUGAGUUUGGCAACACAGGUAAGAAGUCUGAAAAAAGCAUGGAGUUGAUUUGUCUUGUUUUAAAUUCUAGGAAAUUGUGAAACUUCUUCCAAGAAGGUUCAUUUGCAGAGAUUUUAAACGGAAGGAGUGCAGUCUUUAGAUUCUGUUAUAAAAAUAAAAACAGUGCCUCUUUUACAUAUUCUGCUGAAUUAGAACUGGUUGUAUGGCUUCUAAAUGAAUUGACUGACUCCAGUUUUAAUAAUAAUUCAUGAAAAUUGAACUUAGACUCUUUAGUGUUAACGAAGGACAUGACUUAGUGAAAAUGACAUUGAGUCUCACAGUAUCUCCUUCUG